rnacentral:rRNA from 1 species
CCUACGGGCGGCAGCAGUGGGGAAUAUUGGACAAUGGGCGAAAGCCUGAUCCAGCCAUGCCGCGUGUGUGAAGAAGGCCUUCGGGUUGUAAAGCACUUUCAGUGGGGAAGAAAGCCUUGCGGCUAAUACCCUCGAGGAAGGACAUCACCCACAGAAGAAGCACCGGCUAACUCCGUGCCAGCAGCCGCGGUAAUACGGAGGGUGCGAGCGUUAAUCGGAAUUACUGGGCGUAAAGCGCGCGUAGGCGGUCUGAUAAGCCGGUUGUGAAAGCCCCGGGCUCAACCUGGGAACGGCAUCCGGAACUGUCAGGCUAGAGUGCAGGAGAGGAAGGUAGAAUUCCCGGUGUAGCAGUGAAAUGCGUAGAGAUCGGGAGGAAUACCAGUGGCGAAGGCGGCCUUCUGGACUGACACUGACGCUGAGGUGCGAAAGCGUGGGUAGCGAACAGGAUUAGAUACCCCGGUAGUC